rnacentral:rRNA from 1 species
UAGGGAAUCUUGCGCAAUGGGCGAAAGCCUGACGCAGCAACGCCGCGUGGGGGAUGAAGGCUCUCGGGUUGUAAACCCCUUUCAGCAAGGACGAAAUUGACGGUACCUGCAGAAGAAGCCCCGGCCAACUACGUGCCAGCAGCCGCGGUAAUACGUAGGGGGCGAGCGUUGUCCGGAUUCAUUGGGCGUAAAGAGCUCGUAGGCGGCUUGGCAAGUCGGAUGUGAAAACUCCAGGCUCAACCUGGAGCCGCCAUUCGAUACUGCUAUGGCUAGAGUCCGGUAGGGGAGUGUGGAAUUCCCGGCGUAGCGGUGAAAUGCGCAGAUAUCGGGAGGAACACCGAUGGCGAAGGCAGCACUCUGGGCCGGCACUGACGCUGAGGAGCGAAAGCGUGGGGAGCGAAC